rnacentral:rRNA from 1 species
AGGAUGAACGCUGGCGGCGUGCUUAACACAUGCAAGUCGAACGAUGACUUUUGUGCUUGCACAGAAUGAUUAGUGGCGAACGGGUGAGUAACACGUGAGUAACCUGCCCCUGACUCUGGGAUAAGCCUGGGAAACUGGGUCUAAUACCGGAUAUGCACCGUGGACCGCAUGGUUCUUGGUGGAAAGAAUUUUGGUCAGGGAUGGACUCGCGGCCUAUCAGCUUGUUGGUGAGGUAAUGGCUCACCAAGGCGACGACGGGUAGCCGGCCUGAGAGGGUGACCGGCCACACUGGGACUGAGACACGGCCCAGACUCCUACGGGAGGCAGCAGUGGGGAAUAUUGCACAAUGGGCGAAAGCCUGAUGCAGCGACGCCGCGUGAGGGAUGACGGCCUUCGGGUUGUAAACCUCUUUCAGUAGGGAAGAAGCGAAAGUGACGGUACCUGCAGAAGAAGCGCCGGCUAACUACGUGCCAGC